rnacentral:rRNA from 1 species
UACGAAGGGGGGCUAGCGUUGCUCGGAAUCACUGGGCGUAAAGCGCACGUAGGCGGCUUCUUAAGUCAGGGGUGAAAUCCUGGAGCUCAACUCCAGAACUGCCUUUGAUACUGGGAGGCUCGAGUCCGGGAGAGGUGAGUGGAACUGCGAGUGUAGAGGUGAAAUUCGUAGAUAUUCGCAAGAACACCAGUGGCGAAGGCGGCUCACUGGCCCGGUACUGACGCUGAGGUGCGAAAGCGUGGGGAGCGAACAGG